GAUGUUGGGUUGAUGUUGGGUCGACGUUGGGUUGAUGUUGGGUUGAUGUUGGGUUGAUGUUGGGUUGAUGUUAGGUUAACGUUGGGUUGACCUUGGGUCGAUGUGAGUUUUUUGUUGGGUCGACAUUGGAUCGACGCUGGGUUGACAUUGCGUUGACAUUGGGUUGACGUUGGGUUGUGGUUGGGUUCAUGUUGGGUUGACGUUGGGUCAACAUUGGGUUGACGUUGGGUCAAGGUUGGGUCAACGUUGGGUCGACAUUUGGUUGAUGUUGGUUUGACGUUGGGUUGACGUUGGGUUGACACUGGGUUCACGUUGGGUUGACGUUGAGUUGACAUUGGGUCGAUGUUGGAUUGAUGUUGGGUCAAUGUUGGGUUGACGUUGAGUCGAUGUUGGGUCGACAUUGGGUCAACGUUGGAUCGAUGUUGGAUUGACGUUGGGUUGAUGGUGGGUUGAUGUGAGGUUGACGCUGCGUUGAUGCUGCGUUGACGUUGCGUUGACGUUGUGUUGACCAAGACUCUUCCCUCUUCCCCUCCCGACCCCCGUACCCAAUUUUUUCCCCUUUUCCCCCAUUUUAGGAGCUCCUUUGCUACAAAUCCCACCUCCCCGGGGAAUUCCGUCUCCUCUGGCGGCGCCGUUUCCCCAGCCCCCUGCUCUCCCUGCUCUACGCCGACCUCACGGCCGACGGGCUGCGCGAGUUGGCCGUCGUCUGCCUCAAGGGCCUCCACGUCCUGCAGCACAGCCUGGAACCCACGGCCCGGCGGGUCCUGGAGCGGCUGCGGAGACGCGCGGAACGACGGGCCUUGGAAGGGUGAAGACCUUCGUCUUCCAUCAUCAGCGACGGACCCAAACUCGGCCCUUUUCACCCCAAAAAUGAAUAAAAUAACGCAAAACCCC